CGGCGCGUGAAGCGGGAUGCGCUCCCCUUUAAAAUCUGGCUGGUUUCCUAGUCCGAAUUGUAGUUUAUAGAAGCGUUUUCGGUGGCAGCCUGGGUAUAAAUCCUUUGGAAUAGGGUAUCAUAGAGGGUGAGAAUCCCGUCUUUGACUCAGUGCAUGCUACUAUGUGAUACGUUUUCAAAGAGUCGAGUUGUUUGGGA
rnacentral:rRNA from 1 species